AACGAACGCUGGCGGCAGGCCUAACACAUGCAAGUCGAGCGAGGACUUCGGUCCUAGCGGCGGACGGGUGAGUAACGCGUGGGAACGUGCCCUUUGCUUCGGAAUAGCCCUGGGAAACUGGGAGUAAUACCGGAUGAGCCCUUUGGGGGAAAGAUUUAUCGGCGAAGGAUCGGCCCGCGUUGGAUUAGGUAGUUGGUGGGGUAAUGGCCUACCAAGCCGACGAUCCAUAGCUGGUUUGAGAGGAUGAUCAGCCACACUGGGACUGAGACACGGCCCAGACUCCUACGGGAGGCAGCAGUGGGGAACCUUAGACAAUGGGGGAAACCCUGAUCUAGCCAUGCCGCGUGAGCGAUGAAGGCCUUAGGGUUGUAAAGCUCUUUCAGCUGGGAAGAUAAUGACGGUACCAGCAGAAGAAGCCCCGGCUAACUCCGUG
rnacentral:rRNA from 1 species